GUGUCAGCCGCCGCGGUAAUACGGAGGGUGCGAGCGUUAAUCGGAAUUACUGGGCGUAAAGCGCGCGUAGGCGGUUUGGUCAGUCGAUUGUGAAAGCCCUGGGCUUAACCUGGGAAUUGCAGUCGAUACUGCCUGACUAGAAUGUGGAAGAGGGAAGUGGAAUUUCCGGUGUAGCGGUGAAAUGCGUAGAUAUCGGAAGGAACACCAGUGGCGAAGGCGGCUUCCUGGUCCAACAUUGACGCUGAGGUGCGAAAGCGUGGGGAGCGAACAGGAUUAGAUACCCGGGUAGUCC
rnacentral:rRNA from 1 species